CAAUAGCGUAUAUUAAAGUUGUUGCAGUUAAAAGCUCGUAGUUGGAUUUCUGGGAGAGUGCCAAUGUCCGCCGAAGUGCGUGCGCAGCGGCGCUCUUUCAUCCUUCUGUUAACGGCUCUCGGCAUUCAUUUGCUGGUGUCGGGCUCAGAUAUUUUACCUUGAGAAAAUUAGAGUGUUUCAGGCAGGCUAGGCCGGAAUACAUUAGCAUGGAAUAAUGGAAUAGGACUUCAACCUCUUCUGUUGGUCUGAGGGGCUGUAGUAAUGAUUAAUAGGGAUAGUUGGGGGCAUUAGUACUUGACUGUCAGAGGUGAAAUUCUCCGAUUUGUUAAAGACUAACUUAUGCGAAAGCAUUUGCCAAGGAUGUUUUCAUUAAUCAAGAACGAAAGUUAGGGGAUCAAAGACGAUUAGAU
rnacentral:rRNA from 1 species